GGACUACCAGGGUUUCUAAUCCUGUUUGCUCCCCACGCUUUCGUGCUUCAGUGUCAGUAACAGGCCAGGUAGCCGCCUUCGCCACUGGUGUUCCUUCCGAUCUCUACGCAUUUCACCGCUACACCGGAAAUUCCACUACCCUCUCCCAUACUCUAGCUCAACAGUAUUAACUGGCUUUCCCAGGUUAAGCCCAGGGCUUUCACAGUUAACUUAUUAAACCACCUACGCACCCUUUACGCCCAAUAAUUCCGAUUAACGCUCGCACCCUCCGUAUUACCGCGGCGGCUGGCAC
rnacentral:rRNA from 1 species